GACGAACGCUGGCGGCGUGCCUAACACAUGCAAGUCGAGCGGAGUCGAUCGACGGAAGCCUUCGGGCGGAAGAUGGUUGACUUAGCGGCGGAUGGGUGAGUAACGCGUGGGCAACCUGCCUCGAAGACCGGGAUAACAGCCCGAAAGGGCUGCUAAUACCGGAUGUGGUCAAGGAUCCGCAUGGAUUUUUGAUUAAAGGGGAAACCCGUUUCGAGAUGGGCCCGCGUCCUAUCAGCUAGUUGGUGAGGUAAAAGCUCACCAAGGCGACGACGGGUAGCCGGCCUGAGAGGGUGACCGGCCACACUGGAACUGAGACACGGUCCAGACUCCUACGGGGGCAGCAGUGGGGAAUCUUGGACAAUGGGGGCAACCCUGAUCCAGCCAUGCCGCGUGAGUGAAGAAGGCCUUCGGUUGUAAGACUCUUCGGUCCGGGAAGGAAUACGUAUGGUUAAUACCCUGUGCGGAUGACGGUACCGGCAUAAGAAGACACCGGCUAACUACGUGCCAGCAGCCGCGGUAAAG
rnacentral:rRNA from 1 species